rnacentral:rRNA from 1 species
GCCUUGGCAUCAGGAGCCGAUGAAGGACGUGGGAAUCUGCGAUAAGCCUGGUGGAGUCGAUAACCUGACGUUGAGACCAGGAUUUCCGAAUGGGGAAACCCCGCCAGGCAUUUUGACCUGGUGACUCCCGCCUGAAUAUAUAGGGCGGGUAGAGGGAACGUGGGGAAGUGAAACAUCUCAGUACCCACAGGAAGAGAAAACAACAGUGAUUCCGUGAGUAGUGGCGAGCGAAAGCGGAUGGGGCUAAACCGUUUCCAUGUGUGAUAGCCGGCGGGCGUUGCAUGGUGCGGGGUUGUGGGAC